ACGUAUUUGUCCUGUAAUCUGUUGUCUGUAGGUACAUAUUGUGCACAGCUUUUUCUGCAACUUCUGCAUUAACAGAUUGGAGUAGUAUGUUUUAUUCUGUCAUCUAUACUUCCGUACCUACAGUAAUUGUUGGUAUUCUGGACAAGGACUUAAGUCAUAAGACACUACUUAAGUAUCCUAAACUCUAUGCUGCUGGCCACAGACAGGAAAGUUACAAUAUGAAACUCUUCUGGGUCACCAUGAUUGAUACAGUUUGGCAGAGCCUUGUUCUUUUUUAUGUACCACUAUUCACUUAUCAUCAGAGCGAUGUUGACAUAUGGAGUAUGGGUAGCUUGUGGACAAUUGCAGUAGUGAUCCUUGUCAACAUUCACUUGGCAAUGGACAUACAGCGCUGGGUAAUAUAUACUCAUAUGGCAGUGUGGGGGUCAAUUAUUAUCACGUAUGUCUGUUUGGUGGUGCUGGACUCUACACCUGUCUUCCCUAAUUAUGGUACAAUUUAUCAGCUGGUGAAGUCACCGACCUACUGGCUCUUAAUUUUGCUUAUUAUAGUUAUGGCUCUGCUUCCUCGCUUUAUUCUCAAAGUUAUGCACCAAAUUUUCUGGCCAUCGGACAUCCAGAUAGCGAGAGAAGCAGAGAUAUUGAGGAAAAGACCUAGUCAUUGUAGAUCUAGGUCAGGUCACAGUGAAAGCUAAUACGUGCUGUCUGCAUUGCCAAUCACCCAAUUAGAUAUAGCUUCCAUUGGGUUUGCCUGGUGCUUGGCUUCCCGUCGUAUUCAGGUCUAGAUGUUGCAGAUGAGCUACACACGUAACGCCAGCAGGUGAAGCCAUUAAUAGAACGUGGAUAAAAGAUCUGGCGGAGUCACCAUUUGACUGAAAGAAAAGGGAAGAGGGUUAAACUCAAAGCCAAAGCGUGAUGAUUAAUGUAGAAUGCAUGAAGACGAUCUGGUUGCUGAGGGUCUAUUGGAAACACCUCUCUAUCCUCACAAGAUAGGGGUAAGGUCUGCGUACACACUACCCUCCCCAGACCCACGGUGUGGAAUAAUACUGGUUAUGUUAUUGUUGUUGCAGCAUGAAGACGAUCUGGUUGAGGCAGAAAAGUCGAAUAAAGGCAUCGGGAUGGAUCUUAUAAUUGUUUGUUGAUACUUAGGUUGGGAUGUUGCCGCAGAGGUAAAAAUGACAGGCUGAUUUUUAGGUGUAGUGUAUUUAAGUUGUUGCAGUAAUUAUAUCCAUGUAUAAGAUAGAGAGAGAAAUGAAGACCGAAAAACAAAGGGAGAAAGAAAUACAAGUGUAUCAUAGUUUCUUGUAAAGUUCGGGGUAUCCAUACUCUUUCAACAAAUUGAAGGAGAAAAAGUUGUUCACUAAAGUACUGAAAUGAUGUGAAUUACUUACUCAAGGAACAAAGAGAGCAUAUUACUGAAUUCCUAAUUAGAAUACUAUCCA